UGGCCUAUUUGUUGUUCUGGAAACUCUGCC
rnacentral:piRNA from 1 species